rnacentral:rRNA from 1 species
GACGAACGCUGGCGGCGUGCCUAAUACAUGCAAGUCGAACGAGCGGCGGACGGGUGAGUAAUGUCUGGGAAACUGCCUGAUGGAGGGGGAUAACUACUGGAAACGGUAGCUAAUACCGCAUACCAUCAGAUGUGCCCAGAUGGGAUCAGAGAGUAGGUGGGGUAAUGGCUCACCUAGGAGACGAUCCCUAGCUGGUCCGAGAGGAUGAACGGCAACACGGGAACUGAGACACGGUCCAGACUCCUAGUGGAGGCAGCAGUGGGGAAUAUUGCACAAUGGGCGCAAGCCUGAUGCAGCCAGGCCGCGUGUGUGAAGAAGGCCUUCGGGUUGUAAAGCACUUUCAGCGAGGAGGCGUUACUCGCAGAAGAAGCACCGGCUAACUCCGUGCCAGCAGCCGCGGUAAUUC